AGCGAACGCUGGCGGCAGGCCUAACUCAUGCAAGUCGAACGAACUCUUCGGAGUUAGUGGCGGGCGGGUGAGUAACACAUGGGAGAGUUCCUUUUUGUUCGGAAUAACUCAGGGGAAAUUGUGCUAAUACCGAAUGUUCCCCUCAGGGGAAAGACUUCUAGCAAUUAGAGAGGCCCGCGUCUGAUUAGCUAGUUGGUUGGGUGACGGGUCACCAAGGCGACGAUCAGUUGCUGGUCUGAGAGGAUGACAAUGCACACUGGGACUGAGACCCGGCCCAGACUCCUGCGGGAGGGAGCAGUUGGGAAUCUUGCGAAAUGGGCGAAAGCCUGACGCAGCCAUGCCGCGUGAAUGAUGAAGGUCUUAGGAUUGUAAAAUUCUUUCACCGGGGACGAUAAUGACGGUCCCCGGAGAAGAAGCCCCGGCUAACUUCGAG
rnacentral:rRNA from 1 species